GACGAACGCUGGCGGCGUGCUUAACACAUGCAAGUCACGGGGGUCGCAAGACCAACCGGCGAACGGGUGCGUAACACGUGAGCAACCUGCCUUUGUGUGGGGGAGUAGCCGGCCCAACGGCCGGGUAAUACCGCAUACGAUUCGUGGAAGGAGUCUUCUGCGAAGGAAACCUCCGGGGCACAGAGAGGGGCUCGCGGCCUAUCAGCUAGUUGGCGAGGUAACGGCUCACCAAGGCGACGACGGGAGCUGGUCUGAGAGGAUGGCCAGCCACAUUGGGACUGAGAGACGGCCCAGACUCCUACGGGAGGCAGCAGUGGGGAA
rnacentral:rRNA from 1 species